rnacentral:misc_RNA from 1 species
GAUGAAGAACGUAGCGAAAUGCGAUAAGUAAUGUGAAUUGCAGAAUUCAGUGAAUCAUCGAAUCUUUGAACGCACAUUGCGCCCGCUGGUAUUCCGGCGGGCAUGCCUGUUCGAGCGUCAUUUCAACCCUCAAGCUCUCCGGAGUUUGGUGUUGGGGCGCCUGGGGCUUUUCGACCUCAGGGCCCUCAAGUCCAUCGGCGGGACCGCCAGGACACUGAGCGCAGUAGUAUUAUUUCGCUCGGUAGGAUCUUCCACGGCGGGUCGAUCUGGCCGCUAAACCCCCCAAUUCUCACCAAAGGUUGACCUCGGAUCAGGUAGGAAUACCCGCUGAACUUAAGCAUAUCGAUAAGCGGAGGA